rnacentral:rRNA from 1 species
CAGUAGCCACGGUAAUACGAAGGGGGCUAGCGUUGUUCGGAUUUACUGGGCGUAAAGGGCGCGUAGGCGGACUGAUAAGUCAGGGGUGAAAUCCCAAGGCUCAACCUUGGAAUUGCCUUUGAUACUGUUUGUCUUGAGUUCGAGAGAGGUAAGUGGAACUGCGAGUGUAGAGGUGAAAUUCGUAGAUAUCCGCAAGAACACCAGUGGCGAAGGCGGCUUACUGGCUCGAAACUGACGCUGAGGCGCGAAAGCGUGGGGAGCAAACAGGAUUAGAUACCCGUGUAGUCCCUGUCUCUUAUAC